AAAGAACUGACUUUUUGGAGGCUGAGAUCUAGCAACAUCCUGGAACUGAUACAAAAUAAAUUAUUUAGGGGGCUACGAGAGGAGCAAUUUACAAACUGAUAAAGGACCCCAAGUAUCUGACCAGCAAGCCCAAGCAAGGAUUCGGUGUUUCCCGGAGAGCGCCUUGGGGGAUCUGCACUGCGUCUCUGAAGGACUACUAUGACAGACCUGACCAAAAGUCUCACUCACCGAGCUCUCCGACCACCCCGGGGUGUCCAUACACGGUUCCUCCCAUGACAGCAGCUCCUUGUUCAGAGAGCUCUCCGUAUCACCUUGGGUUCUGGAAACCAAACACGUCCUCUGCAAGAACAGCCAGUGCUCCUAACAGGAAUGGGUCAUUUUCAUGAGGCCACUGGCAGAUUCCUCUUCGGCCGUUGUUAUCAUGGAGCUGCUUUGCCUGUGGCUUCCUGCACUCAGAAGCACUCCACAUUGCACAGUCUCAAAACAGUUUCGCUUUCAA
rnacentral:lncRNA from 1 species